UUUGUUAAAGGUUCAAAUGAUCUUUAAUUUAAAAUGUGCAUCACCUGUGAUCACCCUUCUUCCUCACCUGUGAACACCUGGUUUGGUCACUUCAGAGCUGCCGUCCGUCCAGGUGAUAAGGCUGAAAACUAUUCUCAGGUGUGUGUUCAUCAUUCUGUUUUUGGCCCUCAUCGCUUCCUGUAACUUCAUCAUGACGGAGAGAGUCCGGGUGGGUGGCGCUCUGGUCCGGUCCAGCAGAACUGGCUGGGUGAGCUGGAGUCUGAGAGCAGAGCUGCUGAACACGUUAACACACAGGUGACCCGUGUUCACACGUGUGUCCAUGUCACGCGUCUGUACGCUAGACGUCUUCAUCGUUACCGUGGCGUCUGUUCUGAUGAUGUAAGCCAUUAAUGAGCGAGUCACUUCCUCCUCGUCUCUGCUCAUGUGCAGGACUCAUCGGACAGGAAAUACACCAUGCCUCAUUUUCCCAGAAUUCCCUGGGCUCACCGAAGGAAAACAGAAAAAAAAAGUUUUGUUUGUUUGUCGUAUUUAAUUAUUUUUAAUGUUUCAGAUGAUGUCAGCUUUCAUUUAAACCAGAGAGAGUGAGACUGAGUGCAGUUUGUUAACCUGUCUGUCUGUCUGUCUCUCACAGAGCGUCUGUACUUCGCCACCUUACGCAGUAAACCUAAAAGUACGGCUAACACACACUAUUUCUGCACAGACGAUGAGUUCCUGUACGAGAAUUUCUAUGCAGACUUUGGUCCUCUGAAUCUGGCCAUGUUGUACCGAUACUGCUGCAAACUCAACAAGAAGCUGAAGCCGACCGGACAAUCUGGAUUCACACCCAUCAUUAGUUUACUGCAGAGUACCUGUCCACACCUGAGACACAAAGCAUCAUGGGACACCUCACAAACUAUGCAGCUCACAAAGGAGUGUUCAUAAGACUGUUAAGACUGAAGGAAGACAAGAUCACAACAGUCUUAUAAGAUUAUAAUAAAACUUAAAUAAAACUAAAGACUGUAGAGUGGUUAGUCUGAGUCUUUACCA